ensembl:snoRNA U3 Small nucleolar RNA U3
AGGAUCAAGGAUCAUUUCUAUAGUUUCUAAUUUGAGAUCUGUGCCCUUAAAGUGACCAGUCUCACCAACCAUGGUGAUGAGCUCUGUUGUUCUCUUCAGAGUGUGACGCAGGCAGGGGUUAGUAGGUGAGUUACCUAAUUCCUGUCAUUGAUGAUUGAUCUUUUCUUCUUUCUGAAGUAAAGAGGAAAAGGAUAUGACCUGAGUGGU